AACGCUAGCUACAGGCUUAACACAUGCAAGUUGAGGGGCAGCAUGGUCUUAGCUUGCUAAGGCCGAUGGCGACCGGCGCACGGGUGAGUAACACGUAUCCAACCUGCCGUCUACUCUUGGACAGCCUUCUGAAAGGAAGAUUAAUACAAGAUGGCAUCAUGAGUCCGCAUGUUCACAUGAUUAAAGGUAUUCCGGUAGACGAUGGGGAUGCGUUCCAUUAGAUAGUAGGCGGGGUAACGGCCCACCUAGUCUUCGAUGGAUAGGGGUUCUGAGAGGAAGGUCCCCCACAUUGGAACUGAGGCACGGUCCAAACUCCUACGGGAGGCAGCAGUGAGGAAUAUUGGUCAAUGGGCGAGAGCCUGAACCAGCCAAGUAGCGUGAAGGAUGACUGCCCUAUGGGUUGUAAACUUCUUUUAUAAAGGAAUAAAGUCGGGUAUGUAUACCCGUUUGCAUGUACUUUAUGAAUAAGGAUCGGCUAACUCCGUGCCAGCAGCCGCGGUAAUACGGAGGAUCCGAGCGUUAUCCGGAUUUAUUGGGUUUAAAGGGAGCGUAGAUGGAUGUUUAAGUCAGUUGUGAAAGUUUGCGGCUCAACCGUAAAAUUGCAGUUGAUACUGGAUAUCUUGAGUGCAGUUGAGGCAGGCGGAAUUCGUGGUGUAGCGGUGAAAUGCUUAGAUAUCACGAAGAACUCCGAUUG
rnacentral:rRNA from 1 species